GAGUUUGAUCUUGGCUCAGAACGAACGCUGGCGGCAUGCCUAACACAUGCAAGUCGAACGCUCCGCAAGGGGAGUGGCGCACGGGUGAGUAACGCGUGGGAACCUGCCGAGGGGUGUGGGAUAACCGGUGGAAACGCCGGCUAAUACCGCAUACGUCCUGUGGGAGAAAGAUUCAUCGCCCUUCGAGGGGCCCGCGUCGGAUUAGCUAGUUGGUGGGGUAACGGCCCACCAAGGCGACGAUCCGUAGCUGGUCUGAGAGGAUGAUCAGCCACACUGGGACUGAGACACGGCCCAGACUCCUACGGGAGGCAGCAGUGGGGAAUAUUGGACAAUGGGCGAAAGCCUGAUCCAGCGACGCCGCGUGGGUGAAGAAGGCCUGCGGGUUGUAAAGCCCUUUCGGUAGGGACGAAAACUCUCGACUUAAUACGUCGAGGGAUUGACUUAACCUACGUAAGAAGCACCGGCUAACUCUGUGCCAGCAGCCGCCGUAAC
rnacentral:rRNA from 1 species